UACGGGGGGUGCGAGCGUUGUCCGGAAUCACUGGGCGUAAAGGGCGCGUAGGUGGUUUGAUAAGGGUGUGGUGAAAGUCCGGGGCUCAACCCCGGAUCUGUCGUGCCGACUGUCAAACUCGAGGACUGUAGAGGCAGACGGAAUUCCGGGUGUAGCGGUGGAAUGCGUAGAGAUCCGGAGGAAGACCGGUGGCGAAGGCGGUCUGCUGGGCAGUUUCUGACACUGAGGCGCGACAGCGUGGGGAGCAAACAGG
rnacentral:rRNA from 1 species